AGCCGUUCAAGUGAGUAGGGUGUUGCGUAGGCAAAUCCGCGCAACGUGAGCCUGAGACACGAUGACGAGUGAAAAAUAGUAACGAAGUCCUUGAUCCUCCGCUGCCAAGAAAAGCUGCUAAGGAAUAUAGAGGUGCCCGUACCGCAAACCGACACAGGUAGACAGGUAGAGAAUACUAAGGCGCGCGAGAUAACUCUUGUUAAGGAACUCUGCAAAAUGAACCCGUAACUUCGGGAGAAGGGUUGCUCUCUAGCGUGAGUAUGAGCAAUACAGAGCGCAGGAGAGUCGCAGUGAAAAGGUCCAGGCGACUGUUUAGCAAAAACACAGGUCAUUGCAAAAUCGCAAGAUGAAGUAUAAUGGCUGACGCCUGCCCGGUGCUGGAAGGUUAAGGGGAAGAGUGCAAGCUUUGAACCGAAGCCCCAGUAAACGGCGGCCGUAACUAUAACGGUCCUAAGGUAGCGAAAUUCCUUGUCGGGUAAGUUCCGACCCGCACGAAAGGCGAAACGAUCUGGACGCUGUCUAACAAGGGACUCGGUGAAAUUGAAAUUCCGGUAAAGAUGCCGGAUACCUGCGAUAGGACAGAAAGACCCCAUGGAGCUUUACUGUAGCCUGAUAUUGGGUUUCGGAUAUUCAUGUACAGGAUAGGUGGGAGACUAAGAAGCAUGGACGCCAGUUUGUGCGGAGUCACUGGUGGGAUACCACCCUUAAAUGUUUGGAAUUCUAACAAGGAGUCUUGAAGCAGAUUAUUGGACAGUGUCAGGUGGGCAGUUUGACUGGGGCGGUCGCCUCCCAAAAGGUAACGGAGGCGCUCAAAGGUUCCCUCAGAACGGAUGGAAAUCGUUCGCAGAGUGCAAAGGCAGAAGGGAGCUUGACUGCGAGAGCCACAACUCGAGCAGAUAGGAAACUAGGACUUAGUGAUCCGGCGGUCGCGAGUGGAAGUGCCGUCGCUCAACGGAUAAAAGCUACCCUGGGGAUAACAGGCUUAUCUCCCCCAAGAGUUCUCAUCGACGGGGAGGUUUGGCACCUCGAUGUCGGCUCAUCGCAUCCUGGGGCUGAAGUAGGUCCCAAGGGUUGGGCUGUUCGCCCAUUAAAGCGGUACGCGAGCUGGGUUCAGAACGUCGUGAGACAGUUCGGUCCCUAUCCAUCGCGGGCGUAGGAAAUUUGAAGGGAGCUGACCCUAGUACGAGAGGACCGGGUUGGACAGACCGCUGGUGAACCAGUUGUUCUGCCAAGAGCAUAGCUGGGUAGCUAAGUCUGGAAAAGAUAAACGCUGAAAGCAUCUAAGCGUGAAGCGAACCUUAAGAUGAGAUUUCCCACAACGAAAGUUGAUAAGACACCAGAGAGAAUAACUGGUAGAUAGGUCAGGAGUGUAAGUGUGGUGACACAUUGAGCGGACUGAUACUAAUAAGUCGAAGACUUAGCC
rnacentral:rRNA from 1 species